UUUUAUUGUUGUGGUAAUUCUGGUAAAAUUUAAGAAGAACAGAGGAUUUCUAUAAAUAUCUCUUUCAAAUGAAUAUGCCCUCCUCUCUCUCCCACUCAAUUUCCAGCUUUUAUUGGUUAUUGAAUCUUAUAUUUCUAUGUAACUGUUAAGUGAUUCACUGUUUUUCAAUUUAGGAUGGAAAAUGGGAGUUAACAAAUGUGACCCCUCUCCUAUACCUGUAACUCCACUGGAAUGUCUUGUGAUCUCUCCCUCCUGUGCUUAACCCCUCUUAAUGUCAUUUAAUUUGUUGGGGUCCUAGCAUACCACUUGAAUAAAGUCAUCCAAGGUAUGUGUCUCUGCCAAGUGGAACUAAGCAUUGUUUAUUAUUGUUGCAACUGCAUUGCUCACACACAGAAUCAAGACCCAAAGCCAUUUCCAUAUUUUUCAGUAGCUAACUCUUACCCUUUUCUUUCUAAAUUGCCUCUGACAUCAAUAGCCCUACAGGAUUUCAAUGUGGGUUUAAGGAACUGAGCAACCAAUGAAUAUGGGGCAUUCUUGUAGCAUGCAAUCACAACUUGUGCUUGGCUUUCAUAACAAAAUCUUGUCCAAAACCAUCUCAAAGAAGCCAAAACCAAUCCAAAACCACUUCCUAGGUCCACAUUGCAUAACAAGUGGAUAUGUUCUUUCCCACCACAUGAUGAAGGGCACUAGGUAGCUAGAUGCCUAAUCAUGUGAAUGGUGAAAGUAUUUGUCUAUUAGGUUUAGGCUACAAAAAUUGUAAGAUUUCUGGUUCCAUGCUGCUUAUUAAACACUUUUCUAUUCACAUCCAUUUGCUAUUCCUUCUAUGACUCCUGAGAAGAGUUUAUUGCUCUCUCUCCCCUCACAUCCUAACAAAACUCUGUGGGACUGGGAGAAUGGGGAGUUUAAGGCUUUCACUUAAUACUCAUUGAUCAAGAAACAGAGGAAAAAGAGAGUGAAUAUUUAAGAGCUGCACUGAUAGAAACAAAGGAACCAGGGACAUGGAGCUUUUUAACAUCAAAAUAUUUUCCUCAUUUCCCAAGUAUCUGGCUUCCCUAAUCUCUAUCAAUAAAUACUGUUGAGCUCAUGUGUCUGAGAAAUAGCAAGGAUUUGGGAAUUGAACUUGGUUCAAUAAUCACAUCUCUCCCAAACAUCUUCUGUGGUAGCAGUAGAGAUUCUCUGAAUUCUAAGUCCAUGGGAAAGUAACCUCCAUUCUUCUCCUUUUAGAUUACAAAUACACAGAACAGGGAGGUCUCCAUGCUGACACCAGUGCACUUAGCAUAGAGGGGGAGGGUUUGGCCAAUGUGGGAAUGGCAAAGGAUAAAAGAAUGAAUUAAAAGCUAAGGUGGACAGAAAUCAAGAGCUUUUUUAAAAUCAAGAGCUUUUUUAAAAGUGUGCAGGGAAGGCAGGAUCACAUGUAAACACAAGGACCAGUGGUCCAAAGCACGCAAAGUGAUAAGUAGGUCCAUCACCUUUUCCACCCUACCAUCCAAGCAAAAGAACAUUUCUUCAAUUGAUUUGUUAUGGUCUCUAAACACACCAGCAUUAUCAAAAAUUUUAAGGGUAUAAAAAAGAGAUAUGUAUUUUAACUUCAUGAAACCACUCUGAUGCCAUUUUGGUAAGAAAGUAAUUUCUGAGGUUGGGUUAAGCCUCAUCUACACCAACUACCAUCAAAUCAAGAGUCUUAAAACAACUCUACUUUGUGCAUCCCACAUCUCUGAGAAGACACCAU
rnacentral:lncRNA from 1 species